rnacentral:rRNA from 1 species
UUCCCCUAGUAGCGGCGAGCGAAGCGGGAAGAGCUCAAAUUUGUAAUCUGGCGCUUUCGGCGUCCGAGUUGUAAUCUCUAGAAGUGUUUUCCGCGUUGGACCGCACACAAGUCUGUUGGAAUACAGCGGCACAGUGGUGAGACCCCCGUUCACGGUGCGGAUGCCCAAUGCUUUGUGAUACACUUUCGAAGAGUCGAGUUGUUUGGGAAUGCAGCUCAAAUUGGGUGGUAAAUUCCAUCUAAAGCUAAAUAUUGGCGAGAGACCGAUAGCGAACAAGUACCGUGAGGGAAAGAUGAAAAGCACUUUGGAAAGAGAGUUAACAGUACGUGAAAUUGUUGGAAGGGAAACGCUUGAAGUCAGACUUGCUAUUCGGGCAACCGAGUUGCAGGCCAGCAUCAGUUUUUCGGGGCGGAAAAUCACGGUUAGAAGGUAGCAGUUUCGGCUGUGUUAUAGCUUUCCGUUGGAUACGUCCUGGGGGACUGAGGAACGCAGCGUGCUUUUUGGGACCAA